UUCUGGAACCUCCCAUGCCGUUUUGUUUACCUCCUGUCGGUAAAAUCCUGUCCGCGUGCGGACUGACAUAUCCAAAUCGAUUUGGGGGUCAAUGUAUCCCCAGCUAACUCUUAAUUCAGGGAUAAUGAGCCGUUGUUGUGCAUGAGACACCACCACCUACACACUCUCUAGCACUCGGCAAAUGCGCAAUGCAAUCCGUUGACCGACAGUGGUCUCCAGUGACACGACUAAAGAACCGUAAUCAGUGACUGGUCUCACUCGUUUCUAAAACGUCAACGGUAUCACUGGUGAACAAACCAUCGCCUGGUGGCAUGACCUCUCUGGAUUUUGUCAGAAAAAGAGCCAGGGACUAGUAAAACCUGUUGGACUGGAGCCAAGUGGAAUCUGAAAUGGGUGAUACCAGCAACAAAUGCAUAGCCUACAUACAGGUCUGCUGCAUCACAGAUGUCUGUUGUCUGUCCUCCUGGGCUGAUCCUCAGAAGAUCACAUCCUCACUUCCCUCUGUUCUAGGAGCUGCAAACCCAUUGGAUUGACACGCCAUGGUUGGCUGUUUUACCAGCAAAUAAACAACAAAGAGAGCUGUG